ensembl:snRNA U6 U6 spliceosomal RNA
GUGCUCGCUUCGGCAGCACAUAUACUAAAGUUGGAAUGAUACAGAGAAGAUUAGCAUGGCCCCUGCACAAAGAUGACAUGCAAAUUCAUGAAGUGUUCCAUAUUUAA